rfam:Oryza punctata chromosome 11, whole genome shotgun sequence.
UUUAAAUUCAGUUGUGAAUUCCUGUGCUCAAUAUUUGAUCAUUCAUCUUAUUUUAAAUUUUUUGUAUGAUUAGUAUUUUUAUUGUUAUUAGAUGAUAAAACUUUAAUAAUAUUUUAUGCAUGUUUUUUUAUUUUUUAUAAUUUUUUUAAAUAAGAUGGAUGGUGAAAUAUUGGAUACGAAAAUACACAACAAGACGGAGG